UGUCGUCAGCUCGUGCCGUGAGGUGUCAGGUUAAGUCCUAUAACGAGCGCAACGCCUGUCGUUAGUUGCCAGCGAGUGAUGUCGGGAACUCUAACGAGACUGCCAGUGUAAACUGUGAGGAAGGUGGGGAUGACGUCAAAUCAUCACGGCCCUUACGUCCUGGGCCACACACGUGCUACAAUGGUAGGUACAGAGAGCAGCCACUGCGCGAGCAGGAGCGAAUCUACAAAACCUAUCUCAGUUCGGAUCGGAGUCUGCAACUCGACUCCGUGAAGCUGGAAUCCCUAGUAAUCGGAUAUCAGCCAUGAUCCGGUGAAUACGUUCCCGGGCCUUGUACACAC
rnacentral:rRNA from 1 species